rnacentral:rRNA from 1 species
CCUACGGGAGGCUGCAGUGAGGAAUAUUGGUCAAUGGACGCAAGUCUGAACCAGCCAUGCCGCGUGCAGGAAGACGGCCCUAUGAGUUGUAAACUGCUUUUGUACGAGGGUAAAUCCCGAUACGUGUAUCUUGUUGAACGUAUCGUACGAAUAAGCAUCGGCUAACUCCGUGCCAGCAGCCGCGGUAAUACGGAGGAUGCGAGCGUUAUCCGGAUUUAUUGGGUUUAACGGGUGCGCAGGCGGAAGAUCAAGUCAGCGGUAAAAUUGAGAGGCUCAACCUCUUCGAGCCGUUGAAACUGGUAGGCUUGAGUGAGGGAGAGGUAGGCGGAAUGCGUGGUGUAGCGGUGAAAUGCAUAGAUAUCACGCAGAACUCCGAUUGCGAAGGCAGCAUACCGGAGCGCAACUGACGCUCAUGCACGAAAGUGUGGGUAUCGAACAGGAUUAGAUACCCGUGUAGUC